ACGGGGGGGGCAAGCGUUGUUCGGAAUUACUGGGCGUAAAGGGCCAGUAGGCGGCCAACUAAGUCGGACGUGAAAUCCCCAGGCUCAACCUGGGAACUGCGUCCGAUACUGGAUGGCUGGAGUAUGGGAGAGGAAUGCGGAAUUCCAGGUGUAGCGGUGAAAUGCGUAGAUAUCUGGAGGAACACCGGUGGCGAAGGCGGCAUUCUGGACCAUUACUGACGCUGAGGAGCGAAAGCCAGGGGAGCAAACGGGA
rnacentral:rRNA from 1 species